GCUGAUGUAGCUCAGGUAGUUAGAGCAUGGGACUCAUAAACCCAAGGUCGGAGGUGCAAGUCCUCCCAUCAGCACCA
rnacentral:tRNA from 1 species